rnacentral:lncRNA from 1 species
CAGUGCUUAGUGAUUCAUAUUGGAAGGAAAAAGCAGAAAUUGCUGCAAAGGCAAACGAAGAAGCUUAUACUCCUGAUCCUUAUGCGGUAUCCGGCAACCUGACUUCCACUAUUAGCGAGUGAGCAUAAUGCCAAUUACCAUAAUUACCAUUAAUAUGUUCGAAUUCAUAGGAGAAAGAGAUCAAAGGAGAAAUCUCUUUGAGAAAAUAUUUUCUAUUUUUAAUUUUAUUUAUAUUCUAAUUGCAUAACUGCAUUCCUUGUUUACACUAAAAUGAAAACAAAGAGACAACUUUGUAUUAAAUAUGAAACCAUAAAAUGAAAUAAGGAAACAUUUUCUCAAAUCAAUCCAACACUCAAUGGUUAUAUAUUACAUUUUUUAUUUCUAUCAUAGAAUUAAUUAGAAGCUCGUUCAUAUUUUAAUAUUUAUAUUGGUUUGACAUACAGAAUGAUAAUUGGUGGCAAGAAAGGAAGAAGGAAUCUCCGAGGACGUAAAACAGCUGGUCCAUGCAUGGCUACAAACCCCAUUGACAGGUGUUGGAGGUGCGAUCCUAACUGGGCAAACAAUCGCAAGAAGCUUGCAGAUUGUGUGCAGGGUUUCGGAAGGAAGACAACCGGUGGAAAGGCUGGUCCUUUCUAUGUGGUAACUGAUCCCUCAGAUAGUGACAUGGUGAAUCCACGUCCAGGUACCCUUAGGCACGCAGUUACAAGAAAUGGUCCUUUGUGGAUCAUUUUUGCUCGUAGCAUGAACAUUAGGCUCAACCAAGAGCUCAUAAUGACGAGCGACAAGACCAUUGACGGUCGAGGAGCUGAUAUUGUCAUUGCUAAUGGGGCUGGUAUUACUAUCCAGUACAUCAGGAAUGUGAUCAUCCAUGGGAUCAAAGUUUUUGACAUUGUGGUUGGUAGUGGUGGACUUGUUAGAGAUUCUGAGAACCAUUAUGGUCUAAGGACAAUGAGUGAUGGGGAUGGAAUUUCAAUUUUUGGCUCCAGCAAUAUUUGGAUUGACCAUGUUUCCAUGAGAAACUGCAGAGAUGGACUCAUUGAUGCCAUUAUGGGAUCCACUGCUAUUACCAUCUCCAAUAGCCAUUUCACAGAUCACAACGAGGUAAAUUAGUAAUUUGAUAGUUUCUUUCAUGUGUUUUUGCUUAUAAAUAUUUUUUUUAUUCCUAGGUUUAAAAUGAAAAAUAUUACCUGAUUUUCGGGUUUUUGGUUAAUGUGUAUGUGGUGUGGUGUAGGUAAUGCUGUUUGGUGCAAGUGAUGGAUAUGAUGCUGAUCAGAAAAUGCAGAUCACAGUUGCAUUCAACCACUUCGGUAAGAGAUUAAUCCAAAGGAUGCCAAGGUGCAGAUUUGGUUUUAUCCAUGUGGUUAACAAUGACUACACUCACUGGGAAAUGUAUGCCAUUGGUGGUAGCAAACAUCCUACCAUUAUCAGUGAGGGUAACCGAUUCAUAGCCCCUGACAACGGCUAUGCUAAAGAGGUAUGCAUCUAUUCAUGAGUCACGCUUAUCCAUAUAAAUAUAUGCAUUACAAUUAUAGCUAUGCCUUGGUUAAAGUACUCAAUUUUGUCUACGCUACCAAUUUCCCUCUCAGUUGGAUACUCUUUUGAAUAAUAGAAUAUGAUAAGAUACAGUCGCAGAGAGAAAGACACAAAAAUAUCAUAUAUCUACCAUGAUCGAAUGCAGGGUUCAUUAGUUAUAUAUUUUUAUAUAAACAAAUGUCUUUCUCUAUCUAAUAGACAUUGAACUUUCAUUGUACUUUCAAAUGACAUGAUUUAACAAAACAAAGAAAUAAAAAGAAAUCAUGAAAACUAUAUGUCUGACAUAAUUUGCUGGUUUUGGUGUUUUGAAGAUAACAAAGAGGGAGUACUCACCAGAAUCAGAGUGGAAAAACUGGCAAUGGAGAUCAAUCAACGACGUGUACAUGAACGGAGCAUUUUUCAGACAAGGUGGAUCUGAGCUGACUAACAGACCAUUCUCAAAGAAGGACAUGAUCACAGCUAAG